CUGGUACAAUGGAAGCAAUGAAAAUACCAAGGUCGAGUUUACCUGUAUUGUCCUCGCCGACAAUCACAAAACCUGCAAUGAGACCACAGCAAAGUCAGAGACAAAAGUCCUCAGUUAAAGAAUCAGGCUGAUGGAGGACUCGCUGAAGGUGAUGGAAGGACUGUGAGACCUGCCCGGUGUCUUAGGAGAAACGUCGUGGUGGGGGCUCCGGCCGAGCCAACUGCAGGUGCUGUCCCUGUGACGAGCCCCUCGCGGGAGCCUGCGUUGCGAGGGGGAAGAGAUCAAAUUCAAGCACUAACUCACCAUGAAGCCUUUCUCUGAUCAUCUGGCUCCGCCCACUCAGAGGCAAGCUGCUGUCAGAGCUAUGGUCCAUCUGAGAGAAUAAGGACUGGUGAGAUAACAGUCUACAAACCAAAAGGGCCCACAGGUGCAGACUCACGGGUUCACUGAAGACCUCCUCCACCAGCUGCCUGAUGACGUCGGAAGAUGGUGGCAAGUUUGAGGCUUUCUGACGACACUCACAGGAUUCCAGGAUGGAGCUAAUAGUUUGCCUGCGAUGGGACACGUCCUCACACAUGCUGAGGAGGAGGCUGUUGAGAUGGUCGCUCAACUGGACUGGCUGAGAGGAGAUGUUAAAAAUCAACCUACCUCCAAACCGUAUAAUACUCAACCUCCCUGAAGUUCUAGAAACAGAAUUUGAAGACUGAGAUGGGUUCUUCAAAUCUUGAGUCAGACUCGAAUCGACAGUUUUAUGACUUGCAACUUGCUGGAACAACUUUUUUUUUUUCCCUGGGUAUUCAACAAAGUCGACUAAACUUUUAAUGGAAAAUUAAUUAAAUGCAUUUUGCAAUAUGUCUGAAAUAUACAAUGUGGGAGAAGUGUAGUGCUGUGAAUGCUGUCUGGAUGAUGAAAGCUCACCUGAUUUUGAGGUUUGGUUGAGCUGGCACGGCCCUGCAGCAUCUCUGGAGCAGUGAAGGUCGACGCCUCCUCUGAUAGGCCACAGUUCUUAAAUGCUAAGCUACCGGUAGCUGACAGCAGCAAGGAGGUGGGGCUUAUGAUAUUGCAC